rnacentral:rRNA from 1 species
CGGCGGACGGGUGAGUAACACGUGGAUAACCUACCUAUAAGACUGGGAUAACUUCGGGAAACCGGAGCUAAUACCGGAUAAUAUAUUGAACCGCAUGGUUCAAUAGUGAAAGACGGUUUUGCUGUCACUUAUAGAUGGAUCCGCGCCGCAUUAGCUAGUUGGUAAGGUAACGGCUUACCAAGGCAACGAUGCGUAGCCGACCUGAGAGGGUGAUCGGCCACACUGGAACUGAGAUACGGUCCAGACUCCUACGGGAGGCAGCAGCC